GACUGGAUGGCCGAGCUGGUCUAAGGCGCUACGUUAAGGCCGUAGUCCAUUCGUGGGCGAGGGUUCGAAUCCCUCUUCAGUCA
rnacentral:tRNA from 1 species